CGCGCAGGCGGUCGUUCAAGUCGAGUGUGAAAGCCCCCGGCUCAACUGGGGAGGGUCACUCGAUACUGAUCGACUUGAAGGCAGGAGAGGGAAGCGGAAUUCCCGGUGUAGUGGUGAAAUGCGUAGAUAUCGGGAGGAACACCAGUGGCGAAGGCGGCUUCCUGGCCUGUUCUUGACGCUGAGGCGCGAAAGCUAGGGUAGCGAACG
rnacentral:rRNA from 1 species